UACGUAGGGUGCGAGCGUUGUCCGGAAUUAUUGGGCGUAAAGAGCUCGUAGGCGGUUUGUCGCGUCGGGAGUGAAAUCCACUGGCUUAACUGGUGGCUUGCUUUCGAUACGGGCAGACUGGAGGUAUGCAGGGGAGAACGGAAUUCCUGAUGUAGCGGUGAAAUGCGCAGAUAUCAGGAGGAACACCGGUGGCGAAGGCGGUUCUCUGGGCAUGUCCUGACGCUGAGGAGCGAAAGUGUGGGGAGCGAACAGG
rnacentral:rRNA from 1 species